AAGCAAGUCAAGGUGACCGCCCUGAUGUCUUUGUCAUCGGGGAGGAAAGUCCGAGCUCCGAAGGAUGAUGCAUCCCGAUAAUGCGGGACCGGUGCCGCAAGGCGCUGAGGAUUAGAGCUACAGUGACGAUGCCCCGCACCGCAAGAUGUGGGGAGUGAAACGAGCAAUCUCUGCAUGGAGCAAUGCCAAAUAGGGAGAGAUCUCGACGGCAACGUUGAGGCGAGGCGAUCCGCCUUGUUCGUAUCUCCGGGUAGGCUGCAAGAGUUCCGAAAGUAAUUUCGGAAGUUAGUCGAAUGGUCACCCUGUGUCGCAUGAGGUUCAGGGCAAUAUUUUUUUAGAAACAUUGUCCUGUGCCUCGCGGUUCAGCAACAGAACUCGGCUUAUUUGACUUGCUUUAUA
rnacentral:RNase_P_RNA from 1 species